rnacentral:rRNA from 1 species
UGGGGGAUAUUGCACAAUGGGCGAAAGCCUGAUGCAGCGACGCCGCGUGGGGGAUGAAGGCUUUCGGGUUGUAAACCUCUUUCGCUAUCGAACAAGGCCCGCUUAGGGUGGGUUGAGGGUAGGUGGAGAAGAAGCGCCGGCUAACUACGUGCCAGCAGCCGCGGUAAUACGUAGGGCGCGAGCGUUGUCCGGAAUUAUUGGGCGUAAAGGGCUUGUAGGCGGCUUGUUGCGCCUGCUGUGAAAACGCGGGGCUUAACUUCGCGCGUGCAGUGGGUACGGGCAGGCAUGAGUGUGGUAGGGGUGACUGGAAUUCCAGGUGUAGCGGUGGAAUGCGCAGAUAUCUGGAGGAACACCGAUGGCGAAGGCAGGUCACUGGGCCAUUACUGACGCUGAGGAGCGAAAGCAUGGGUAGCGAACAGG